UGUUAACUUUGCAAAUGGGAACAUGUUGCAGUGUCAAAAGACAGGACAUACCUGCACUUGGAGCAUGACAUUGUCUUAAUCAGGGAUGCAGCAGACAUUCUCGGGGGCCUUCAUCCUUGGCAGCGGGGAUGCCAUCACCAUGGUGCAUCCCCACAGAUCUUGUUAAAAGUGUGCACAGAAGUCCCUGCAGAGUACCUGAGGACCUAGGAGUUCUCCUUCUCUUAAAUUAACACGGGAAACGUUUGCACUAUGGUGCCAUGUGCCUUGGCGUCUGCUCUGACCAGCUCAGUGGCUGCUCACACAGUCUUCAUCUUAUCUGUAAAGAUGACGGCCUGCACAUACAUUUGUCUGCAAUUCUGACAAAAGAAUUUAAUAAAACCUCAUGUUCAAAG